AGCGAACGCUGGCGGCAGGCUUAACACAUGCAAGUCGAGCGCCCCGCAAGGGGAGCGGCAGAAGGGUGCGUAACACGUGGGAACGUACCCUUUGGUUCGGAACAACCCAGGGAAACUUGGGCUAAUACCGGAUAGGUCCGCGAGGAGAAAGAUUUAUCGCCGAAGGGUCGGCCCGUGUCUGCUUAGCCAGUUGGUGUGGUAACGGGGCAACAAGGCGACGCUCAGUAGCUGGUCUGAGCGGAUGAUCAGGCACACUGGGACUGGGACACGGCCCAGACUCCUACGGGAGGCAGCAGUGGUGAAUAUUGGACAAUGGGUCAACCCUGAUCCAGCCAUGCCGCGUGAGUGAUGAAGGCCCUAGGGUUGGAAAGCUCGUUCGGAGGGGAAGAUAAUGACGUUACCCACAGAAGAAGCCCCGGCUAACUUCGUG
rnacentral:rRNA from 1 species